CCCACCUCCUCAAUAAAAAAUAAAAAAAAAAGUCCAACCCUACCCCUUAGCUCUACAUACCCAUUAUAUAUGUAUAUAUAGGUUCGUUUGUACAGAUUUCCGGCGAAAUCAUGCUUCGUCUUCUUCUUCUUAGCUGAGGUGCAGAUUUCCCGGCGAGAAAUUUCUGGUGAUGGUAAACGACGUAGUUUCGCAGGCAUUUAGAGCGUUGGUGGAAAGUGCUGAGAAGAAGUACGCCAGAGUACGGGAUUUGCCGGCGUACGGAAGAUGGGGAACGAGCCCAAUAAAAAAAAUAUAAAAAAAUGUCCAACCCUACCCCUUACCUCUACAUACCCAUUAUAUAUGUAUAUAUAGGUUUGUUUAUACAGAUUUUCCGGCGAAAUAAUGCUUCAUCUUCUUAUUCUUAGCUGAGGUACAGAUUUUACAGCGAGAAAUUUUAUGGCGAUGGUAGACGACGUAGUUCCGUAUGCAUUUAGAGCGUUGGUAAAAAAUGCUGAGAAGAAGUACGUCAGAGUACGUGAUUUGCCGGCAUACGGACGAUGGAACGAGCAACCACAACUUUCAAGAGGUGUUUAAAGCGUACAUGAGGUUAUGGAAAUACCAGUAGGAGAAUUGAGCGAAACUAACGGACUGCGGGUUACAGCGAUGGGAGAUCGGCGAGAUCGCUUCGAGAAUCAGGAGUAUAUCGACGGUUCGGGAAAACAACAAAUGGUGAGGUUUAAAGAACUAGGGUUCUAUGCUAGUUUUUUUAUGGCUUCGUUGAUUUUUAAACCAAUCGAAAAUGGUGAAACUACUCGUGGAACAAUAUAAAGCUAUUGUUGAUGACAGUAGAGCUGCUUUUCCAAUUUCGUACAAUUCGAGGCCGAUAUGAAGGGCAAAGGCGUCGCGAGCUAGAGAUUUCGCCGGUUUGAGGUGAG
rnacentral:lncRNA from 1 species